GUGGAACCCUGGUAUCCGG
rnacentral:misc_RNA from 1 species